rnacentral:rRNA from 1 species
UGGUGGAGUGAUUUGUCAGCUUAAUUGCGAUAACGAACGAGACCUUAACCUACUAACUAGCCCGCAUCGCUCCGGCGGUGCGCUGGCUUCUUAGAGGGACUAUCGGCUCAAGCCGAUGGAAGUUUGAGGCAAUAACA